GGGAGAAGCAGGCUUCCCGCUGAGCAGGGAGCCCGAUGCGGGGCUCGAUCCCAGGACCCCGGGGUCAUGACCUGAGCCGAAGGCAGAUGCUUAACGACUGAGCCACCCAGGCGCCCCUAAAGCCAACCUAUUCUGAGCCCUGCUUCCUCAGGGCUCUGCUGGGCAACUGAAAAAUCUAACCCACAUGAAGAACUGACAGACGACUUCAGCUGAAUGCCAGUUCUGGUCCAAAGGACGUGCCCAUUUUGGUGGCCCAAAGCUUCAUGAGGACAAAGAGUGUGGGAGCCCAGAGAACUGAGAGCAGCCUUUUCAGGAAGACCCACUGGCUUGGGGUGAUCCCUGAUGAAGAUACAGUGGUGAUCCCUGAAGUCAAGCCACCUGUCCAGCUCACAGCCCGCGCACCCAUUCUUCCCGGUAGAACUCUUCUCAGAAAGGCGGGGAAGGAAGACUUAUCAGACCUUCGGAGGAGUUGGCUGGAAAGGUCCGACUGCCGAUACCCCGAAGAUUCUCCCAGCAGUAUGUGCCUCUCCGAGAAGUAAAGAGCAAGCCGCUGAACUCGAGCUGCCUUCCCAGAGCUAGCACGGCUGGGGCUGUCCCUAAGGUGGUGGGAACUCCUGUGGGCCUCUUAUUUUCCUCUCACGGGCAUCGUUCUCUGCCCCCACGUAUGUAAUGGGGACAGUGGGGGGAUUCCCCCAAACCGUGAUGGUGUUCCGUUCAAAAACAUUUGCCUGGAGGUCCGCUGCUGGGUGACUCACACACUGGUGAGGUGGCAGGAAAAUUCACAGCUGCUGGUCGGAAGUGCCUGACCCAAACAAAAGAGGAUGCUCUGAGGGUGGCCAGGCUUAGUAAAUAAAAAUACAGGAUGCCCAGUUACAUUUGAUUUUCAGAUCAACAACAACGUUUGGGAUAGCCUUAUACUAAAAAAAAAAAAACAUGUUGUUGAUCUGAAAUUCAAAUGUAACUGGGCAUCCUGUUUUGUAUCUGGCAACACUAGACACAAAGCACCUGGGACAAACCUCCCCCUCCCCCCCCCUCCCCCCCCCCCCCCCCCCCCCCCCCCCGCACCUUCCCCAGGGUCCCAGCGGGGUGCUGUUGAGAGUAAGCAACACCACAGCUGCGAGAAGACCACUGGCCUGGGAUGAAAGCAAACCCGGGACUUGCAAUGGUCAGAGAAGGGUGGGAACACUCUGCUUCAAGGGUUCCUCCUGAGGAAUCGCCAAACCUCAAUCUCAACCUAGGGCAGAGUUCUGCAUUCAAAUUCCACAAAAGGGCAUGGGGGCUCCUGAAGGAGACUCUCCUUUCUCUGGACUCCAGUUUUCUCGUCUCUGUAGUGGGGGGAGGUUUGGAUUCUAUGAUGGCUGCGGACUUCCUAGCCCUUGGCUUUUCCAACCCAGGGGAAAUCUGCUGGAAGCAAGAGAAGGUGCAAGCUCGCCAAGGAGCAAGUUUAAGAAGGAGGAAGAGGCCAGCUCUGCCGGGAACAGAGUGGUCCUCUUACCUUACAGCUCUGAAAGGGGGUUGGGGCUUUGCAAACGGACAUUGGGUGCUUGGGGGGCUCCUCUUGGGUCAGGCACAGCCCGUGCACGCCGGACCUCCUUGGAAAAGGCCCCAGGUACCACCCACAGCUGUGUCCAUCGCUGUGGCGCCCAGGACCAGCCAGAUUUUCAAACAUCCAUGGAAACACUUGAGCCACAGUUUUCUGUUGAUCAGAAAUUUCAGAAGGACUGAGCUGGACGGUUCUCACUUGAGGUCUCACACGAGGCCACAGUCAGAUGUUGGCUGGGGCUGCUGUCAUCUGAAGACUCAACUGGGAUCAGAGGAUCCACUUCUAAGGUUACUCACCCAUGUUUAACGGGCAAGGUGGUGCUGGCUGAAGGCUCGAAGCCUCAGUUCUUCUCUGCAUGGACCUUCCUAAGGAGCUGCAUGAGUGUCCUCCUGAGAAGAUGGCUGAUUUUCACAAUGUGUUUAUCCAAGAGGCCAAGGUAGAAGCUACAGUCCCUUGAAAGUCACACAUCUUCAUUUCCACUGUAUUCUAUUGGUUGUGGCAACUACAUAGGUUUGUCAGGUUCAUAGGUUUGUCAGGUUCAAGGGGAGGGAAUAGACCCUGCCCUUCAAUGCAGGAGUGCUAACAUCACAUUGUAGGAAGAGCAUGGGAAAUGAGUUAUAUCAGUGUUUCCAUCUUUAUAUAUUAUUUUUUAGAAGAUUUAUUUAUUCAUUAGAGAGAGAGAGAGAGAAUGAGCAUGAGCGGGGUGGGGGAGAGGCAGAGGGAGAGGGAGAAGCAGGCUCCCCGCUGAGCAGGGACCCCCCCCCGACCCAGGGCUCAACCCCAGAACCCCGAGAUCAUGACCUGAGCCGAAGGCAGAUGCUUACCCAUCUGAACCACCCAGAUGCCCCAGCGCUUCUUUAGAAAAUUUAAUCUGCCAUAUGCCAUUUCCAAUAUUUUGCUAUUAUGAAAACAUGUUGGUAACUACAACUUAAAGACUUCUGAUAUGUAUUACCAGAUUCCCUCUAGAAAGUUGUACCAAUUUAGACUCCCACCAGUGUUUGAGAAAGUCCAUUUCUCUACAUCCUUAUUACAACUAAGCUUAUCUUUUAAAAAUCUUUGCCAGUUUGAUACGCAAGAAAUGGUAUCUCAUUGCUGUAAAAAAAUUCCUACUAGGAAAGUGGAAGACCUAAAUUUAAGUAUCACUAUUUGUUGGGGCUGCCAUAACAAAAUACCACAAACUGAGUUAUUUAAACCACAUAAAUUUAUUUUCUUGGGGUGCCUGGGUGGCUCAGUCGGUUGGAUGUCUGCCUU